rnacentral:piRNA from 1 species
GUUACUGCUCCCCUGCUGGGCUCUGU